UAGUCUAGAGGCUAGGAUUCCUGGUUUUCACUCAGGAUGCCCAGGUUCAAUUCCUGA
rfam:Sus scrofa chromosome 2.